CUGUGGUUUGGUUACAGGUUUUGCCAGCAGCGCCCACGGGAUGGCAAUCACAUGCUGUGAGGAAACAGAGGAAGAAAGAGAGGAACAAAACAUUUCCUGUGUCCAGUGGAAUCCCCCCCCCUCAAGCCCACCAACAGCCACAACCUGAUACAUCAAACCUCACAGACGGCGAUGAAUAAAAAAAUGCACCCGAGUUUUACUCAUAGAUAUUGUGUGACCACGCUGCCUUUUACUUCACAAUGGGUUCACUUCUUUCCUGUUUGGACAGCGCUCAAGUGAUCUGUCUCAUUGUGCUGGAAACAUCAAGCUCAACGCCAGUGUGGCCUGGGAAUGCCAUGAAGCGGGCUCUGUGUUUCUCAGACUCUAGCUGCAGGGCGCAGUUAGUCAGCACCGCUCCGUGCAUGCCUGCAGGUAACAGGGAUCCCCGCACAAGGUGUAAAGCUGGUGGAGGAUCAGCGUAAAGCCUCAGACCAGCAGACAGGUUUCCGUUACACCUCAAGGAUUGUUUCGCACCCUCACUCAACCAGGCUCCAGAGAGAAUAAUGCCGUUGUGCUGGAGGGCACGGUGGUUAUAUAGUGGAGCUGCUGCUAAAAUUGCUUGAGAAGGUGUGAAACCGAAGUUCACAUUGUGUUUCAGCCUACUGUGACUCCAAGCAUGAACAAUUGAGAACCACUUUAUCUUGGCAAUAAGCGUCACGCAAGCUCUUUUAAACGUGACGUUCGUCCAAAACCCUUCAGAAAAAGACUUUAGGUUCAUGUUUCUUCUUCACUUUCAUGUCUGUCACAGUGCAGACUGUCUUAAAACAAUCGUGGUUUUACAUUUUUAUUUUUACAUUAGAUUUUUUCUUUGCUCUCUAUGGAACAAAUGGGAAAAUAACAUUUAUUUAUUGACCUUAGCAUUCCUCCUUUGUGCAGCAGGAUUUUAUCAAUUUAACAACUGAAAGAAGACAGUAAAGUCUCUAAACGUCUGUUGAAUGAGGGGUUGGCUUGCUCCAGAAUAAAUAGUCGAGAUUCACACCCACUAUCCACCCCGAUCAGCUGCCACAUCACAGAACAAUCGACUUCAGUUGUCAACACACCCAGAAGGACACAGACGGGUCUGAAUGUCGCUACACUUGCACAAAUGCGCCUCGCACGUAGCUGCUGCUCUUAAAGCAGCUGAAAAUACAACGUCGCCUUCUGUUUGAACUUUGGAAAUGUGGCUAAGAGUGAGACGUUCACGUGAAGAUAUCUACUGAUGUCUAAAGCUGGUUAAAAAUCUGUCACCAACAAGUAAAUCAAAACUGCACAUUUUGUUAGUAAAGUUGUCCUUUGACAAGCCAGAGCUGUUUUGUUUGCUACACCCUGUAAUUCGACAUUGCCAAAUUUCUUUCUUUGAAAAGGGUUUAUAAAAGAUUUUAG